rnacentral:rRNA from 1 species
GAUGAACGCUGGCGGCGUGCUUAACACAUGCAAGUCGAACGGUGAAGGCGGAGCUUGCUCUGCUGGAUCAGUGGCGAACGGGUGAGUAACACGUGAGCAAUCUGCCCCUGACUCUGGGAUAAGCGCUGGAAACGGCGUCUAAUACUGGAUACGAGCUGCGAAGGCAUCUUCAGCAGCUGGAAAGAAUUUCGGUCAGGGAUGAGCUCGCGGCCUAUCAGCUUGUUGGUGAGGUAAUGGCUCACCAAGGCGUCGACGGGUAGCCGGCCUGAGAGGGUGACCGGCCACACUGGGACUGAGACACGGCCCAGACUCCUACGGGAGGCAGCAGUAGGGAAUAUUGCACAAUGGGCGAAAGCCUGAUGCAGCAACGCCGCGUGAGGGACGACGGCCUUCGGGUUGUAAACCUCUUUUAGCAGGGAAGAAGCGAAAGUGACGGUACCUGCAGAAAAAGCGCCGGCUAACUACGUG